rnacentral:lncRNA from 1 species
UAAGUGUUAGAUCAGAUCUUCCUGACUCUAAAUCCAGCAUUCUAUCGGCAGCCCCACCUAGCAGCCAAUAUUCUCGCCAAAUUGUAUCAGGAACAAUUCAUAGAAUAAGAACUCAACAUCCUCCAUCCAUUGACUAAGAUAAGCCGGAAUUUUCCCUUUGCAGAAAAGGUAUCUGUUCGUAAAUGCCGUCACCCAGUCCUGGAUCCCGCAGUGAGGUCAAUCAGUGUGACUGGAGCGCCAUCUGCAGGAUGUCCAUGGAAGAUGCAGGUGCUGAAUAACUACCGCAGCUGGCUGAGUCUCUCUCUACAUUUCCAGAUGUCUCUCUGGAAGUAGAGAAUGAGUCCAAAUGCAACUGUGCUGCCCAAUGGAGGAUCAUUCUCAAGUAUUUAGAGGAACAACGUCACCAUCUCCUUCUGUCUCCAGCCUCAAAGUUUGGAGUAGAAGUGUGUGUCACCCAACUUGGUCCCCCCCCAGAUUCCUUCCCUAGAUUCUCUCUCUGGUUCCUUACCCCCAAAUUCCCUCCUUUACAAGCACAAGCCUUCUUCCCCUUCAUCCUUCCUCUAGCCCUACCCCAAACCCUUGUUCUAUUUUUUAUUCCUCUGCUCAAAGACUUAGAGAUGUCAGGGACUUAGAAUCCAUUCACUGUGUCCAUUUCCCUUCCAGUCCCCCCCACCCCAGCUUUUGCUUCCUCCUUCCCACAACACACUCACCCGUUAGAGACAGAACGAUGGUUAUCCUGCCAUUGUGAGUGACAGUGGGAGACAGAUCCAGAGAAUCCAUGGCCACCCACUCUGCCACCUGGGCCAACGAUCUACAGUCUUCUGGCCUCGGGUUUCUGCUGCCUUGAACACCCAGCUAGUGUGGCGCAGGCUAAACUUCCACCACUGGAAGCAAGAGCUACAGUAACAAAAAGGGUUUUCACUUUGUGGUGGGAAAGAAGAGUAUCAAAUAAGGGACAGGACUCCUGCAGGUGGAUGAGACAAUGAUCAUGGACAGGUAACUGGAACUUUGGAGCAUGCCCAGAUCAUCUAAUAUGCAGGUACUCUGCUUCUGGGAGAAAGCAUCCUGUGUGCCUUACCACAUGGCAGUAGCAUCCUUCACUUGGAUGUAUAAACAUGAU